rfam:Triticum aestivum genome assembly, contig: Triticum_aestivum_CS42_TGACv1_scaffold_130161_2BL
GAGCAUAUGAUGUUACAUAGAGAUGCUACUGAGAGUUUACGUCGUUGAAGUAUCCUAAACCGAACUUUUUUAAAACUGAUGCUUG